rnacentral:rRNA from 1 species
AUGACAACUUUUAGAGAUCAUUGCGUGAUCAAGCAUCAAAAUAUUUCCUUGGAUGAAGAGAAGUCGUUGGUAGUCAUUGAGCUCUUAGGGGACGUGGACAAAGGAGUAUGGAAGAGACUGCUGCACUCUUCUGAACGAUGCAUGCCACAUGGGAGUAAGAUCAUAAUCACAAGCCGAUCAGAGAAAGUGGCCAGUCUUGGAACAACGGAAGCCGUCAGGCUAAACUAUUUGUCUAAAGAAGCUUACUGGUAUUUCUUCAGGAUGCUCGUGUUUGGUAGCACGGAUCCGGAGGAGCACCCGAAGUUAACAUCCAUAGCCAUGGAGAUAGCCGUAGAGAUGUGUGGAUCUUUCUUAUACGCAUAUGUUGCUGCUGCCUUACUGAGAGAAAAUCUUAGUGCUCGGUUCUGGUACAGGGUUCUCAGACACCUUAGGGAGUACAAGCAGAAGAAUAUCUUGUUGUUAGGUGAAUAUCCUGCUGAGGAAGAUCAGCCUCGGUAUAUUUUGAGCUUGGCUAAAAGGCGGCAUGGUUCUGAGGAUACUAAGUUCCUUUUGCAAAGUAGUCACUGCCACAAUGGUCCUGCUUCUCAUGGUGGGCUUCCGAAGAUAACAAUGGUGGAUCUGCUAUCCGGCACCUGGAGCGCUAUGCCAAGGGGAAAAUUUGAGGUCUUGUCCUGGAGGUCUGUCAUACCACCGUACUACAGCUACACAACUGCUUGCGAGUUUGUCCGGCACAGCAGUAGUACCACAGCAUAG